rnacentral:lncRNA from 10 species
ACUGGAAGCAAUCGUUUGUUAGUGAACUGCUAGGGAUAAUAGUGAGAAGAUCCUGUCCUAUUUCCACCCCUUGAUCCCCGUACGCAUGAGUUCUGGCUAAGGAAGAAACAGAAAUAUAUGUUGGAUGCUGAUCUAGAGCAUACUUUGCAUCCUAAAAGACCAUACAUGAGUCUCCAAAAGGACAUUCCACCAUUCUAUCAAGCCAGCUGCUUCAGGGUGACGGGGAACACGAGAAGACUGAUGUCAACUUUUGUCUCGUAAUACACGAAUCUAUGAGUUUCUCUCAGAAAAUGGUUGUCUGCCAACGCUAACUGGCCAGCUCUGACAGGAGGUGCGUGGCCCAGGAGGAGCCAUCAGGCCAGUUCUCUGGGAUACUGCUGUGUCUCCAGCUCUGCAGUUUGCUCUUCGUCACUCAGCGGCAGACGGAGAGGCAGACACGAGCCCCUUGUGAGCCCUCCUCCUUACCGUCAUCUCACAAUGCUCUGAAAUAAGGAGGCAAAUGGCUGAGGUCCCCUCAGUUGUAGAUGUGAUUGAGUUCUAUCUACCAGAAGCAUAUGCCUCCUGGAAGCCUGGUUCUAACACCUCCCACAAAAUCCUUCAAGCACUUUUUUCUGUUCCAAGGUUUGCUUAUGGGGGACCCAGUGAAGUGCUUCAGAGCCCUAGAGAUUUGCUGAGUCAUAUGAGGGGUCAGCAAACUUUUCCUGUAAAGGGUCAGAUAAUAAACAUUUUAAGCUUUGUAGACUGUAUAAA